rnacentral:rRNA from 1 species
GACUCUCGGCAACGGAUAUCUCGGCUCUCGCAUCGAUGAAGAACAUAGCGAAAUGCGAUACCUGGUGUGAAUUGCAGAAUCCCGCGAACCAUCGAGUCUUUGAACGCAAGUUGCGCCCGAGGCCACUCGGCCGAGAGCACGCAUGCCUGGGCGUCA